GCGAAGGACGGGCGGGCUGCGUCGGUAGUUCGUAGGGUGCAAGCGUUAAGCGGAGUUACUGGGGUUAAGGCGUGCGCAGGCGGUUUUGUAAGGCAGGCGUGAAAGCCCCGGGCUCAACCUGGGAAUUGCGCUGGUGACUGCAAGGCUGGAGGGCGGCAGAGGGGGAUGGAAUUCCGCGUGUAGCAGUGAAAUGCGUAGAUAUGCGGAGGAACACCGAUGGCGAAGGCAAUCCCCUGGGCCUGCACUGACGCUCAUGCACGAAAGCGUGGGGAGCAAACAGGAUUAGAUACCCCAGUAGUC
rnacentral:rRNA from 1 species